UCCGCUGCCGCGUGUCAGGAGCCGAGCGCCGCCGGCCCCGCGCCCGCGUGGGUUUUGCUGGGCUCUUCCCGUCUCAGGGAAGUGCCUCACCGCCUCCGACGGCCACCCCACCGCGGUACUCCGCGUCCUGCCGCUGGAUGCCGCCGAAAAAGCAAGAAGAAGCAGUGAGAGGGAAGUUACACAAGCGAUAUAACUUUGUAGGAGGAAUCAGACCAGCCAUAAAUCUGGCUUAAAUUACAGAAUAAUGAAUCAAUGGAACAGGAUUAUAAUGCUAAUUUAUUUUAGUAAAAAGUCAUGUGGCAUUUUGAGUACUGGACAACAAAAUUCUGGCUACUGCAGUAAAACCUUUCAACAGGAAGUGGUACAAGCAAUGUAACGGUUUUGUUUAACCAGAUGUGGACUACUGACACUUAGCAUGUGGAAUAACAGGUCAAAACUGUGGGACGCUUGAAUUCCAGACUUGUGGAAUUAGUAAAGAUGAAAAAUAAAGUGUUUGAUGCAUGCCAAAAUCCCAGGAAAAUACAAAGAACGAUCACAUGCAGAACUACAGUUAAUCUACAUUAAAUUUCAUUUUAUGGCUAUUAAAGAGCAAGAUUAAAGAGCACAGAGAAGUGGUACCUUCGUGCAUCCAUUCUCACAAGAAGUGUUUAAUCUGGCCAUUUGUAAUGGACUCUUGCAUCCAGCUAAUAACGAAAUGUACAUAUAAGGAAAAAAAAUCCCUUUUGAGUAUAGUAGGUGCAGAGUUUCACUCCUACAGCUUCAACUGCAUAAUUUAAAAUUUACUCCAGAUUACAUUCUCCAUACUGCAAAAUUUCAGUGUUUCAUUGUGAACAGCUU